rnacentral:misc_RNA from 1 species
GGGCGUCGCUUUUUGAUCCUUCGAUG